rnacentral:lncRNA from 1 species
CAUUAAAAAAUUUAUAUUAAAAAAACCCAAUUCAAUCAAAUUAUCAUGACCUUAUUCUAAGAUAUAUUAUGAUCAUUCCAAUCUAUCACUUUUUCUAAUGGUAGCGAUAAUGGAGUUAAUAUUUAGAUAUAUUUUGAAGGGAUAAUUACAUGUGGCUCCUUGUAAAGGUAUUAAAUAGUAAAUAUCUCUUUGCAAUAUUUAAGUUAUAAGAUUUAUCCCUCCAAAAGUCCUUCAUCUGCAAACAUAUCCUUCUGCUACCAAACUUUAGAUAACCAUGAAUUAAAAAAGCCAACCACAGUUAACUAAGGUGUAAAUAACUUUUUUACCUUAUAUAUAUAUAUAUAUAUAUAUAUAUAUAUAUAUUGUAUUUCAAUAUUGAGUCCUAUCAUCAUUCUCACCUUUUUUUUUUAUUCAUGGCAACGGCGAGACCUAUGGCAGUGGCAACGUCGAAGGCAAGGUUCUUGGUUACGACAAAAUGAGGUACGCCGAAUGUGCCGCAGUGAAGGCAAUGAGAGAGAGAAAGAGAGAAAAACAAUAACUUUUUGCAUGGUCAAAUUUGUAAGGGCAAAAUAAUCAUUUUAUGCUACCACUGUUAGAAAAUUAAUGGUGAAUCAAAUGGCAAGGACAUAUAUAAACGAACUAAAAUUGUUGGAAGGAUAUAUUUGCAAACCAAAAAACUUUUGAAGGGAUAAAUCUAAUAACUUAUGUUUUCUAGGAAUAAAUUUACUGUUUAAUAUCUUUGCAGGGACCUAUAUGAAACUUACCCUAUUUUGAAUAAGCAAUACUACAUGUACACCUCAAAGUAUGAUGCAUAUCUUACACCCACUACAUCCUAAGGUCACUAAUACUCCACUUGUCACAUCAAUUUUUUUUAGCAACCGUAUGGAGUGUAAGAUCUACCCCCUCCCUUGUUGGGUGUAUAAGAAGCAUUUUUCACUUUGAAU